GGGUCAGUAGGUUGGUCGUGCCACCGGUACGUACUGGUCUCACUGAUUCCUCCUUCCUGAAGAACCGUAAUGACAUUAAUUUGGUGUUGCGGGGAAACAGGACUGUUACUUUGAAAAAAUUAGAGUGUUUAAAGCAAGCUAACGCUUGAAUACAUUAGCAUGUAAUAAUGAAAUAGGACGAUCGAUCCUAUUUUGUUGGUUUCUAGGAUUGACGUA
rnacentral:rRNA from 1 species